CGGGCCUUUUCUGGACCCUCCGCCGCAGAGGGGAAGUGGGAAACCGCCGCUGCUUUCCCGCCGCUUAGCUUCAGCCCGCGACGGUCAGCCUGCAGGUCCCUUGGAACUCACGCCACAUGUUACGUGGAUGAAGGUGUCCUGCUGCGGUUGUGCUACUUGGUGACCGUUCUCUAGUUCGUUGCUCGAUGCUCAUGUCCUUGCUUAACUGGACGGUCUGACUCAGCCAGUGGUCUUCUGCGUGUGCUCCCUGGAGCCCAGUUAGAGGCUCUCAGAAGCUGGAAUCCAGCCCUCAACUCCUCGACCAGAGAAGCUCUGCUUCCUUCAUGCAUUGGCUUCUGCAUAGAAUUUAGUUUAGUAAAAGGCUGUGGAGAUAAAGUUUGAAAACCACUGGAGUCAAUGACCACCCCCACACACCACUCACAACCACAUAAAAGUCUUGGGUUUUAUGAUUCAACAGUUUGCUCCCAAAGCUGGAACCCCUCCUUUAAAAAGACAGGAUUCAUGUGGGCCUUGGUCUCAUCUUCCCAGCCAGACUUUAAAUCCUGAGAAGGCUGCAUUUGGGCUCGUGGUUCUCGGCUUCCCAUGACAAGCUUCCCGUUUGGACUCAUGGAAUCUCAGCUUUGGCUGGAUUUACAGAAGUUGUUCCACAAAGUUCUGGGCUGGAUGCCCUGACAGGACAGCAGAGGGGUGAGGUACUUGACAUAGUUGAAAGGAGCUAUGGUAUCUUUGCUGAUCCCCAUAGCCUUGAGAGAAGUGCCAGCAUCACCCCAUUGCUCCAAUGAGAAACCAAGGCUCAGAGAAGGCCACUGCAAAUGUGACUUCCAGCCAACUAUUAAGGAAACCAAGGGACAUAGUGAGGAGGAAGGAAGAGGAGGAAGAGGCCUGAUGCACCAGCAAAUGUUUGGCCUGCUGGGAAGCCUGGUGUGUGCAUGAAAACGAAACACUGAAGUCUAGGAUGCUACUAGGAGGAAAACAAGGCCAGUGUGAACUUGAGCUGUAUGAGAGGUGGUGUUCAUGGGCCCAAAGAAACCCUUUUUCAGAGGUCUGUAGCAGUGAGUUGCCUGCUAGAGCGAUGAGCAAUGGUGGUGAUCCCUUUCCAGAAGGAUAUGGAAAUCUGGAGAGGGGUCAGAGAAGGAAGUCAGGAGUUAGAAGCUAGUGCCUAUGAGAGAAAAACAAAACACAAAAAAAAUGCAUAAAAGAAAUUGGGACUAUAUCACCUAAGGAACAUAAAGCAUAGAAGGGAUUUGAUAACUAUCUUCAAACAGAUGGAGGGUCUCUAGAGGACGCUGAAUAGAGUCACAGAAUUUCUGAAUUGAAAAGAACCAAAUACCCUCACUUUGCAGAUAAGAGAAUUUGGGUUUAAAAAAAUGACUUGCCCCAAGUCUUUUGGCCAACAGUGGCAGAAUUAGAGCUAAUAUCAAAGUCUCCUGGUUCCAAAUAAUGUUAUUUCCAGCAUAACAUGAGAAAACCAUCUUCAUCUUCACAAAGAGCAAAGAAAAAGUAGGAGUAAAAUUAAAGCAGAAACAAUUCCAAUCCAAACUAAGGAACAAUGCCUUCAAAGUCAGAAGGGUGAAAGACUGGAACGAGUUAGGCCUCCAGCCCCAAUAAUCUUCCUGGAGAAAAGGGGCAACCAGCUGUCCCAAUUGGCUUUGCCCAUGAUUCCCACUUGAGAAAUGAACAUUUUAAACCAUUAGUUGAUUUUCUAGUCCUCACGGGUGUCACUGUGUUUCUAUAUACACUAAGAAUAUAUUUAACUAAAAUGCAUUAAAAUUUAAGCAUUUCACAGUACUCCAAACUAUUGACGGAAAGUAUGUCCACAGGGUACUGCAAAAACUGAGUCAGAUUCAGCUCACUAGUUUCAAAAUGCAUCUGCCAGCUCUCAUGCCCUAUUUGUGGGUAACUGGCGUCACUUUUGGGGAGGGAAGUUUGGCAACAACUAUGACGAUUUAAAACGCACAUAUCCUUUGACUCGUUGCUAGGCAGGUCCCUUGGGGAAAGCACACUGACUUCUUCCCCCAACUGGAAAAAUACUGAAGGUCUAUCAAUGUGGGCCUGAUUGGAUUAAAAGGUACAUCCAUGUGAGAGAAUCUAUAUGAUUGUUUAAAAGAAUGAGGUAGAACUGUUUGUGUUAACUACAAAAAGAUAUUUAAAUAUAUUAUUAAAUAAUAUAUACUAUGUUAUAUAUUACUAAACCCAAAUAUAUUAAA